UGGGGAAUUUUGGACAAUGGGGGAAACCCUGAUCCAGCCAUCCCGCGUGAGUGAAGAAGGCCUUCGGGUUGUAAAGCUCUUUCGAAAGUGAAGAAAACUUAUUUCAUAAUAUGUUAUGAGUAUGACGGUAACUUUAGAAGAAGCACCGGCUAACUACGUGCCAGCAGCCGCGGUAAUACGUAGGGUGCGAGCGUUAAUCGGAAUUACUGGGCGUAAAGCGUGCGCAGGCGGUUUUGUAAGUCAGAUGUGAAAUCCCCGAGCUUAACUUGGGAACUGCGUUUGAAACUACAAGACUAGAGUGUGUCAGAGGGGGGUAGAAUUCCACGUGUAGCAGUGAAAUGCGUAGAGAU
rnacentral:rRNA from 1 species